AGGUACUGACGAUCAUUUGCUAUUUAUUUUGUUGAUAAGCGGUGUAGAAUUUUUUAAAUAUUUUUAUAAAAUUUCUGGAAUACUACUUUAUUAAUUAUUUCAGAUUUAGUGGCUGUCUUUAUGUUUACUUUAAUGUUUAUGCAGCAUUUAAGCUACUGUCUGUGAAUACAGGACAUUUGAUUUGUUAUACACUUUAAUGUGUUAUUGAAAUUAAAAAAGCAUUUUGUUUUUUAAAAAAGUGCUUAAUUGCUCCCAUUAUCAUGACAUGUGAUUUAUAACUUGUGACAAAAGCGUAUUGUAAAUUAAUAUUGGAAUCUCAGAUCUUUUGGCGAGUGACUUCUACAUACUUGUGUGUUUAUAUUAGCGAAAAAUGUGGAGCCCAGCAUAUGUCUGUACAUUAAGUGUUAUAGAAGGUUGGAAGAUUGCAAAUAUUGUGUUCAGAAUUUCCAACCCAAGUUAACAUUGACUGCAUUGUUGUGGCUAACUGUAGUGUUUAUGUAACAUUGGUGUGUUGACAGUUGAUUAACUCCAGCAUAGCUAGCAUUGGUGUGUUGACAGUUGGCCAAGUGCACUCUAGCUGGAAUGCAGCAUUAUGGAAAAUACGCCAGGCUCAUUUUGCGACUCCAUAAAACAGGCCACAUUGUAGGUAGCAUUGGUAUGUGGACUGUUGGCCAAGUGCAGUGUAGCAGGCAUUGGUGUGUUGACAGUUGACAUUGUACUCUAGUGUACCUACAUGUAGCAUUGGUGUGUUAAUGGGUGAUCAACUCCAAUCUAGCUAGCAUUGGUGUGUUGACAGAAAACUAACUCCAGUGUAGCUAGCAUUGGGUGUUGACAUUCGACAUACAAUGUACUCCAGUGUAGCUAGCAUUGGGUGUUUACAGUUGACUAACUGUAACUAUAGCUACAUGUGGCAUUGGUGAGUGUCUCCAUUGCUAAUUAACUAGCGUUGCUUUACUGACAGCCUCUCAUGUACCUGUGUACAUAUCACUUGUACGUCUGUGUGCUCUCCAUCUCUCCGUGCUGUGUUCAUAGUUGGAUACGUAUCUGCUAUUCACGUUGCUAGUGAAAGUGAAACUUAUGUAGUUGUACAUAUCCUCUAAACCUCAUGUUUAGUUGCACUAAUUGUGAUGAUCCCAUGGCACACUGUAUACACAAACAUGCUGUAGAAAUAACAGGAGAUUUCUCUGGUUCUUUGUUCAUUGAUAAUGUAACACGACAGAGUUGUGUGGAGCAGAAACCUUGUAAAACAAGAGGAUCUCUUACAUCUGUUCCAAUGAUAAUAUGUAUGUAUGUAGGCCUAUGUAUGUAUGAGGAAAGCAAUUAUUUAUUAUGGAAUGAAGGUAGGGACAGAAUGGGUUUUACAGUGUGCUCCAGAGUAGAGUGAUAAUCAUUGGAUUGUGUACCAUUUAACUGCGUGAUGAAGAGGCAAGGGGAAACUUGUUUAUUUUGGCCCCCAAAGUACCAGGGGGUAGAUCUCGUCUCGGCUGUUGAUGGGAAUUCGUACUACACACUGCAUGUAGGCUUACCACGGAAAGAUUAUAUCUUUGUUAUGGCAAAUUGCUACUAAAAAGUAUGUGACAAACCUUA